UGAAUGGCUUGACGAGAAAUCAACUGUCUCUUAAUAAUUUUUAAAAUUUAACUUUUGAGUCAAAAGGCUUAAAUUUUUCUUUAGGACGAGAAGACCCUAUAGAGCUUAACAUUUUAUUUUUAUAUAGUUUUUAGUUGAUCUUUCUAUAUUUAAUGAUAAUGUUUUGUUGGGGUGGCAUGAAGAAUAAUUAAACUCUUCAUUAUAAAAUCAUUGAUUUAUGUUUAUCAUGAUCCAUAAUUUAUGAUCAUAAGAUUAAGUUACCUUAGGGAUAACAGCGUAAUUGUUUUCGAGAGCUCAUAUCGACAAAGCAGAUUGCGACCUC
rnacentral:rRNA from 1 species